GAUUCAUGGCUCAGGAUGAACGCUAGCGGCAGGCUUAACACAUGCAAGUCGAGGGGCAGCAUAAUGGAUAGCAAUAUCUAUGGUGGCGACCGGCGCACGGGUGCGUAACGCGUAUGCAACCUACCUUUAACAGGGGGAUAACACUGAGAAAUUGGUACUAAUACCCCAUAACAUCAUGAAAGGCAUCUUUUAUGGUUGAAAAUUCCGAUGGUUAGAGAUGGGCAUGCGUUGUA
rnacentral:rRNA from 1 species